rnacentral:rRNA from 1 species
GAUGAACGUUGGCGACGUGCCUAACACAUGCAAGUCGAGCGGAGAAGAAGAGAGUUAACUUUUCGGAGUUAACUUUUUUCGGAUCAGCUGCGGACGGGUUAGUAAUACAUUAGGAACCUGCCCUCUACAAGGGAAUAGCCGUGGUAAACCGCGAUUAAUACCCUAUGAGACCACGAAAGCGCAUGCUGUUGAUGUUAAAGAUUUCUCGGUAGAAGAUGGCCUCAUGACCCAUUAGCUAGUUGGUGAUUUAACAGAACACCAAGGCGACGAUGGGUAGCCGGGUUGAGAGAGUGAACGGACUCAUUGGAACUGAGACACGGUACAGACUCCUCCGGGAAGCAGCAGUGGGGAAUAUUGCACAAUGGGGGAAACCAUGAUGCAGCGACGUCGCGUGAGCGAAGAAGGCAUUCGGGUCGUAAAGCUCUGUCAAAUGGGAAGAACAGGACGGUACCAUAGAAGGAAGCCACGGCUAACUACGUG